AUUGAACGCUGGCGGUAGGCCUAACACAUGCAAGUCGAACGGUAACAGGUCUUUCGGGAUGCUGACGAGUGGCGGACGGGUGAGGAAUACAUCGGAAUCUGCUCAGUCGUGGGGGAUAACGCAUGGAAACGUGCGCUAAUACCGCAUACGACCUUCGGGUGAAAGCAGGGGAAUCUUUAGGGAUCCUUGCGCGAUUGAAUGAGCCGAUGUCGGAUUAGCUAGUUGGUAGGGUAAAAGCCUACCAAGGCCACGAUCCGUAGCUGGUCUGAGAGGAUGAUCAGCCACACUGGGACUGAGACACGGCCCAGACUCCUGCGGGAGGCAGCAGUGGGGAAUAUUGGACAAUGGGGGCAACCCUGAUCCAGCCAUACCGCGUGGGUGAAGAAGGCCUUCUGGGUUGUAAAGCCCUUUUGUUGGGGAAGAAAAACAACGGGUUAAUACCCCGUUGGUAUGACGG
rnacentral:rRNA from 1 species